rnacentral:rRNA from 1 species
GACGAACGCUGGCGGCGUGCCUAAUACAUGCAAGUAGAACGCACAGUUUAUACCGUAGCUUGCUACACCAUAGACUGUGAGUUGCGAACGGGUGAGUAACGCGUAGGUAACCUGCCUGGUAGCGGGUGAUAACUAUUGGAAACGAUAGCUAAUACCGCAUAAUAUUGAUUAUUGCAUGAUAAUUGAUUGAAAGAUGCUAUUGCAUCACUACCAGAUGGACCUGCGUUGUAUUAGCUAGUAGGUGAGGUAACGGCUCACCUAGGCGACGAUACAUAGCCGACCUGAGAGGGUGAUCGGCCACACUGGGACUGAGACACGGCCCAGACUCCUACGAGAGGCAGCAGUAGGGAAUCUUCGGCAAUGGACGAAAGUCUGACCGAGCAACGCCGCGUGAGUGAAGAAGGGUGUCGGAUCGUAAAGCUCUGUUGUAAGAGAAGAACGGGUGUGAGAGUGGAAAGUUCACACUGUGACGGUAUCUUACCAGAAAGGGACGGCUAACUACGUG